rnacentral:rRNA from 1 species
AUAUCACUAAGCCGAGGAAAAGAAACUAACAAGGAUACCCCUAGUAACGGCGAGUGAAGCGGGUAAAAGCUCAAUCUUAAAAUCUGUGCUUCAUAUGGAGUACCGAAUUGUAGUUUUUGGAUAAUUCUUCUCUCCUAAUCAUACAUUGUUAAAAUCUCUUGGAAUAGAGUGUCAUAGAAGGUGAGAACCCUGUGAAUAAUAAUAGCAUGAUUGGGGAAUUUAUGUUGAGUUAUCUUAGAGUCGGGUUGUUUGGGAAUGCAGCCUANAUUGGGUGGUAAAUCUCAUCUAAAGCUAAAUAUAUAGUAAGAGACCGAUAGAAAACAAGUACCGUGAGGGAAAGAUGAAAAGAACUUUGAAAAGAGAGUUAAAAGUACUUGAAAUUUGUAACUGGGAACCGCUUAAAUUCUAAUCUGAUAAUUAUGAUAAAUCAGUUUUACAGAGGGNUGUAGUUGAGUAUAUGAGGCUAUCUCGGUAGUUCAUUGCUUGAUCAAGCUUUUAUGUAAGGUGCACUUUAUUGUAGUUAUAAUCAACAUCAAUUUNAAGUACAUUAGGAAUAUGCUGGNAANGUAGCAUUGUGGCUCUCGGGUUACAGUGUGUUAUAGACUGGUAUGGAAUAGUGUAUUUUAGAUGAGGAAAUCAAUGUACUCCUUCUAGGAUUGCGAACAUGGGUUAUUUGGU